rnacentral:lncRNA from 1 species
UUCAGUGACCAUGAAUGUGACCUACUGACCUACUUUCUAAUAUUUUAGCAUCAGUUUGCCAUUUUAAACAUGUGGCUCAAAUUACUCAGGUGAGCGAUUCGGGGUCAUCAUGACCCUCUUGUUACUAAAUGUUAUUCUCUAUUGGUACAGAAGCAUAUAUUUUGGUUUUGUAAUUUAUGACAUUUCGUGAAUAUUGUUAUGUCCUUUUACAUUGUGUUAUAUAUACUAGUGUAAUUGUUAAACAUUUUAAAGUUCCAUAAGGCUGUAAGUUUUAUGUAAAAAGCUGAUAAAGCAGUUAUCCAAAUAGAGAAUAUGCAUAACAAGACUUAGUAAAAUCCUACUUUCAUUAUUAGACAUGAACUUACAGUUUUAGCCAUAAAGGGAGGUAAUCAAAACAGUGCAUUAGAUAAUAUUUCUAACACGUUUAUCAAAUAUUCAAACCUAUCAUAGACUUGCAAGAAAACAAUUAUUGAAAAUAUGAUUUCAGCAGAAAAUAAAAUAUUUUGAAUUGUGAAAAGAAAUGUGGCAGCCACAUUUUAGAAAAUGGCAUUAUGGCCCUUUAAUUGUUAGAAGGAAAGUAAGCAUAUUUUGUCAACAGAUUUAUUUAUAUCGUGAAGCUGUACAGGUUUGGUCCACAUUUCAUUUAUAUAUUAAAGUUGUACACCUCCAAUUUAUUUAUCUUUACCGGCAAUUUUUUUUAUCUAGUAUACCUUUGAAAGUUGCACUCCUUUCAUCAACAAUUUAUUUAUAUCUUUAAAUUCUGUUUUCAAGGGCAGAUAAUUCUUUUUCAAUACCGGUGACCUAUAGCUUAUAUUGCAUAUGUUUAUUUUUGUCCUUCAGUAUCCAAAGUUUCAAGAAAUUAUUAAGAAAACUUUGGUCCAUCUCAUAUAUCGAGGGUUCAACGCAAUAAGGGCGUAUCUACAUAUAAUAAUCAUAUGUAGAUACGCCCUUAUUGCGUUGAACCCUCGAUAUAGGAAUUCUAGCCAACACUUUUAAGCUCAGUACAUAUCCAGUUUUUUUUUAAUUUUGAAGUUUCUAUCAACAGAUACUAAAGUUAAUUAAAAAAUAUUUUAAAGUGAUUGUUUAUGUUUCACGAAGUAUUUACAUGUAAAUUAAACCACUCAUUUAGUCACUAGUAUAUGUAGAUAACUGUCAGAAGUGCUAGCCACACUAUUGAUAUUUGAUAUGAAUUAGAAGAAAAUUACCUCAUAUGAUACCCAGACAGGUGUGUAUUUAAAAAAUACUGGUUUAUCAUUUUCAAUAUUUAGUUUCAAUUGUUGCAUGUUUUUUUUGUUUUGCUUUUUUAAACGAAAUUUUUUAUGUUUUUGUGGUGAUAUGUUGCGAUUAUGAAUUAAUGGACUUGAUGCCAAAUUACACGAGGAUAGGAAGAACCAAAGAAAGUUGUUUCAUGGCAGUGAUGUGUAUAAAAUCAAGUCAUGCUUUAAACAACACUCAAGUAUAAUUUCUGAGGCAAAUUUAACCCUUACCAUGCUGGACAUGACUGAUUCUGCCUUUGCGACCAGUGUAGAUCAUGAUCAGCCUGAUCAUGAUCUGCACUGUUCACAACUCAGUCGGUAUCUUUUUGGUAAGCACCCCUUUUAACAGUUAAUGGUACUGUCCAUGUUGAAAGAUGGACAGGGUAAGGAUUAAAAUGAAUAUUGCUUGUGAGUCACUACAAAGUUACAAAUCAAUAUAGAUCUACAACUCUUUAAAUGAUCAACUUUAUCUGUGAUAUUUUUACUAUAACCUCUUAUUGUUCACUAAAUUGCAUUAUUUUCACAAGUUUGCUAAGUGCUGUGGUGGUUUUUAUAUGUUUCAAAUGAGUUACAAAAAUCAUUUGUUUCACCAGAUUUCAGACUGUUCUUUGUGGCUGGUCAAGUGACUGUAGGUGCUAUUGUUUUUAUCAUUUUACUCUUGUUGAAAAUGUUCCACAUAUUAUUAGAUAUGGCAGCUCAUGUUGGAUUUGAUGAGCAGUAUGUAGAUUGGUAGAGCUUUUGAGCAUUUUAGAGGAUGCUGAAGUCAUUUUUAUAAUGCUGAGAAAUGACGUCGUCUAACGGCUGAUUAAAAGUUCUCAAAUACAUGUAUAUCCAAUUUAUAUAUUGUUUAUAAUUAUAUGUUUUAUUUAGAUAACACGUUUUUCAUGACACAACUCUUUAACAUUUAGCCUGCUGGCGGCAAGUUAUUCUGCCUUUGCGACCAUUGCAGACCAAGGCUGAUCAUGGUCUGCACUGAUCGCUAUUCAGUCAGUAAAUUUUCAGUGAACACCCCUUCGAAUAAUAAAUGAGACUGCCCAAAUUGAAUGGUGGACAAGUUCUUUAUAGAAAUUUAGCAAGCUAAGAGUUAAUUAUAUUGCAUGCAUAUAUUUUUUGAACAUACCUCUAAACAGAUCUGUUCCAUUGCAAAUAUGUAUACUACCAUUUCAAAGAAGCUCUGUGUCCAGUACUGCUGUCUCAUUUUUGUAUAUGUCAGAUUUCCAGGGAUAAGGGUUAACUGAAUGUUCUACAUGAGAAAACGUGCUGUGGAAUGGCAUUGAAUCUAACCAGUCCAUUUAAUUGAAAAUAUAUAUAUAUAUAUUUACUUCAUAUAGCGUUGAAAGCUUCAAUGACAAUCAGAACCUAUCCAGUCUUUUUUUGGUUUGAACAAUUAAGGAUAAAGUAAGAAAUUUCUUUGAUAGUUUCCAGCGUGUUAUUUUUACACAUUGCUUGAUUUAUAGACUUAUGUAGACUGGUUUAUGGGCUUAUGUAGACUGGUAAUAGACAUACUUACACUGUAUCAACAUAUGGUUUAUGGGCAUAUGCAGACUGGUUUACGGGCAUAUGUAGACUGGUUUACAGACACAUGUACACUGGUUUACUGACAUAUGUAAACUACAUACUGUAAAAGUUUUAAUAAUGAAACCUCAAUAGAAUAAACUCCUCUCUGUGUACAUAGAUAUUUUCUUUCCCUUUUGAUAAAAUUCAUUAUGUGCCAACCUUACAGUUUUUUAUCAUGGUGUUCAGUCUGAAAUGGUUGUAAAAUAUAUUUUUAGGAACUUGGAUAUAGAUAUAUAGACAUUAUUCAGAUUUAGAAUUUUAUACAUCUUGUACUUUUCUUCAGCUUCUGUAUCAGUUUACAAACACAAAUCUACAGAUUUUAUUGUUACAAUAUUGUGUUAUUGGUGUUAUUGUUGUUAUAUUUUCUAGUUCUUUGGGAUCAUGGAGAACAUUCAUUUUUCGUUAUAAUAGAAUACUGCUUAAGCCAGUGGUCAUGAAGGUGUUGUACAUUUCAUUACCUCUCAUGAAUAGACUCAUUCACACCGAGUCUGCUAUCAUGAAUAGACUCAUUCACACCGAGUCUGCUAUCAGGAAUAGAUUCAUUCACUACGAGUCUGCUAUCAUGAAUAGAUUCAUUCACUACGAGUCUGCUAUCAUGAAUAGACUCAUUCACACCGAGUCUGCUAUCAUGAAUAGACUCAUUCACACCGAGUCUUCUAUCAUGAAUAGACUCAUUCACACCGAGUCUGCUAUCAUGAAUAGACUCAUUCACACCGAGUCUUCUAUCAUGAAUAGACUCAUUCACACCGAGUCUGCUAUCAUGAAUAGACUCAUUCACACCGAGUCUGCUAUCAUGAAUAGACUCAUUCACACCGAGUCUUCUAUCAUGAAUAGACUCAUUCACACCAAGUCUGCUAUUAUGUUGCUUGGUUGUUUUCUAUGCUUCCAAAGGAGCUUUUCACAGAUUUUAUUAUUGAUCGGGGUGGCUAUGAUUUCUUAUUUAUGCAUGAACGGUGCUGUUCUAUCAAAAUUUGAAUUCAGGUUUUCAGGGACUUACUGAACCUAUUUCUGUUAAACGAAAAUAACCAGUAUAUAAUUACCACUGGAAUAUCUUGUUAAUGAUCAAACAUGUAUAUAUGAUUGUAAAAUGUACAAUCAUAUAGAAUUGUUUGAGAUAUUACCAGUAUUCUACCAACCCUGGAGACCAGUAACAUUAGUUCGCUGGAUUUUGCAAAUAUAUAGAAGAAAUUCACAAAAAAACCUUGUCUCAGACAGUAUUUAGAUGAAGAUUUACAUUUUGUUAGUACAAACAUAGAGAGUAAAAUCUUAGCCUCUUUGAUUACUAUGUUUAGCAUGCAUUACGGUCCAAACAGUACGUGUUUAUAUGUUUCAGAGUGUAUAAAAUGUCAUACAUAACAUACUGGUACAUCUAUUAUAGCUUUCAAAGAUUGCCUUCAUAUCCAAAUGUUUUACGAGAAUAUAUACAAAUAAAUUGCUUUUAUGUUGUUA